UACGGAGGGGGCUAGCGUUGUUCGGAAUUACUGGGCGUAAAGCGCACGUAGGCGGCUUUGCAAGUUAGAGGUGAAAGCCCGGGGCUCAACUCCGGAAUUGCCUUUAAGACUGCAUCGCUAGAAUUGUGGAGAGGUAAGUGGAAUUCCGAGUGUAGGGGUGAAAUUCGUAGAUAUUCGGAAGAACACCAGUGGCGAAGGCGACUUACUGGACACAUAUUGACGCUGAGGUGCGAAAGCGUGGGGAGCAAACAGG
rnacentral:rRNA from 1 species